rnacentral:rRNA from 1 species
GAUGAACGCUGGCGGCGUGCCUAUACAUGCAAGUCGAGCGAACGGACGAGAAGCUUGCUUCUCUGAUGUUAGCGGCGGACGGGUGAGUAACACGUGGAUAACCUACCUAUAAGACUGGGAUAACUUCGGGAAACCGGAGCUAAUACCGGAUGAUAUUUUGAACCGCAUGGUUCAAAAGUGAAAGACGGUCUUGCUGUCACUUAUAGAUGGAUCCGCGCUGCAUUAGCUAGUUGGUAAGGUAACGGCUUACCAAGGCAACGAUGCAUAGCCGACCUGAGAGGGUGAUCGGCCACACUGGAACUGAGACACGGUCCAGACUCCUACGGGAGGCAGCAGUAGGGAAUCUUCCGCAAUGGGCGAAAGCCUGACGGAGCAACGCCGCGUGAGUGAUGAAGGUCUUCGGAUCGUAAAACUCUGUUAUUAGGGAGGAACAUAUGUGUAAGUAACUGUGCACAUCUUGACGGUACCUAAUCAGAAAGCCACGGCUAACUACGUG